rnacentral:rRNA from 1 species
CCCUUAGAUGUUCUGGGCCGCACGCGCGCUACACUGAUGCAUUCAACGAGUUUCUUCCUGGUCCGAGAGGAAUGGGUAACCUUUUGAAAGUGCAUCGUGAUAGGGAUAGACUAUUGCAAUUAUUGGUCUUCAACGAGGAAUUCCUAGUAGACGUAGUUCAUCAGACUGCAUCGAUUACGUCCCUGCCCUUUGUACACACCGCCCGUCGCUCCUACCGAUUGAAUGCUCAGGUGAGCCAUUCGGACCUUCCUCAUGCCGGUUUCCGGUUUUGAUGAGGGAAAGUCUUGCGAACCUUAUCAUUUAGAGGAAGGAGAAGUCGUAACA